rnacentral:rRNA from 1 species
GACGAACGCUGGCGGCGUGCUUAACACAUGCAAGUCGAGCGAAGCGGCGGACGGGUGAGUAACAGGUGAGUAACCUACCUUCGACACAGGGAUAGCCUCGGGAAACCGGGAUUAAUACCUGAUGGUCAAAGAUGGACUCGCCACUGAUUAGCUCGUUGGUGAGAUAACAGCCCACCAAGGCAACGAUCAGUAGCCGGCUUGAGAGGUGGAACGGCCACAUGGGAACUGAGACACGGUCCAAACUCCUACGGGAGGCAGCAGUGGGGAAUAUUGCACAAUGGGGGGAACCCUUAUGCAGCGACGCGGCGGGAGCGAAGAAGGUAUUCGUAUCGUAAAGCUCUGGCCUAUGGGAAGUGGUACCAUAGGAGGAAGCUCCGGCUAACUUCGUGCCAGCAGCCGCGGUAAUUC